rnacentral:rRNA from 1 species
GAGCGAGGCGGGUAGCAAUACCCAGUCGAGCGGCGAACGGGUGAGUAACGCGUGGAUUAUCUGCCCUGAGGUGGGGGAUAACCCGGGGAAACUCGGGCUAAUACCGCAUGAUACCGGGAGGUCAAAGGGGGCCGCAAGGCUCUCGCCAUGGGAGGAGUCCGCGUUCGAUUAGCUAGUUGGUAGGGUAAUGGCCUACCAAGGCGACGAUCGAUAGCCGGCCUGAGAGGGUGAUCGGCCACACUGGAACUGAGACACGGUCCAGACUCCUACGGGAGGCAGCAGUGGGGAAUUUUGCGCAAUGGGCGAAAGCCUGACGCAGCAACGCCGCGUGGAGGAUGAAGGUCUUUGGAUUGUUAACUCCUGUCAGCAGGGAAAAAGCGACC